rnacentral:rRNA from 1 species
CCUACGGGGGGCAGCAGUGGGGAAUAUUGGACAAUGGGGGGAACCCUGAUCCAGCCAUGCCGCGUGUGUGAAGAAGGCCUUAGGGUUGUAAAGCACUUUCAGUGGGGAGGAAAGGUUGGCGGCGAAUACCCAUCGGCAGUGACACUACCUACAGAAGAAGCACCGGCAAACUCCGUGCCAGCAGCCGCGGUAAUACGGAGGGUGCGAGCGUUAAUCGGAAUUACUGGGCGUAAAGCGCGCGUAGGCGGCUUGGUAAGCUGGAUGUGAAAGCCCUGGGCUCAACCUGGGAACUGCAUCCAGAACUGUCAAGCUAGAGUACGGGAGAGGAAAGUAGAAUUUCCGGUGUAGCGGUGAAAUGCGUAGAGAUCGGAAGGAACACCAGUGGCGAAGACGACCUUCUGGACUGAUACUGACGCUGAGGUGCGAAAGCGUGGGGAGCAAACAGGAUUAGAUACCCGAGUAGUC